CCUUCGAUAGCUCAGUUGGUAGAGCGGAGGACUGUAGGCGAUUAUAGCAGUGAUCCUUAGGUCGCUGGUUCAAAUCCGGCUCGAAGGA
rnacentral:tRNA from 1 species